AAAAUGUUCAUUGUAGAGGGAAAAUGCCAUUGAAUUGUUGGAAGAUGUAGGCUGCGUGCUUUAUUUUGAAGCCACACUUAUAGUGUAGCGGGAAGAAAUACUUCCUCUUGUUUGUGAGAUUCCUGGUGGAAGCUACAUAUUUUGUUCUCCUCCACUUGUUUUCAUUGUCUUGUUGUAGAAUGUGAAUAUCAGUUAGUUUAAAACAUUUGCAAAGCAGGUUUAGUCACAGAGGCACGGUGUUGAAUGUGUUUCAUUAAUUUCAAACAUUAACUCACUGGCUGGAGAAGUGGAGACGUUGUCGAGGUCCGUGUGCGUCGUUGGGCGACCAUGUAUAUUGUGCGGUGUGAAUGAGAGUUACCAGAAGCUGCAUGGUGACCGUGUUCUUGAUCUUGCAGAGUUUUGACAGGCGGUGCUAAAAAGCUGCAUGUGACACGAGAGCCACGGGUCGUCCAAUCCUGGUCGAGUGGCGUGAUUAAAAAAAAAAUGUCAACAGGAUGGUGUGUAAAGUACCACAAACCAGAAAAGUCAGACAUUUGGAUUCACACGAGUAUGAAAUGGAUUCCCUCAGGAAAAUAAAAUUUGCCACAACUGCCAGAGGGCAAACAUGCAGUAGGGGGCAGGUGCGUUUACACAUUAAAUAAAAACCAGACAAGAAUGAAAGUCACUGAUGGUGUCGUGGUACACACACCUGACUUGGGUGUGGGCAGCGUAGGUUUGAUUCCUGCUCAGUGAUGGUGUCAAUUAUGUCCCCUGUGACUGACUGGCAACCAGUUCAUCGUGUGCACUGCCAUUCAGAGUGAGAGCAUGCACAAAUCCUAACAAUGACUCGACCGACUAUCAAGAAUAAACCCACAAUGCAUUGCACAGUUAACAUGCCAGUCGUGUAUCCCUUUCCCAGGCAACAGAAUCCGAUAUUCUCCCCGGGGGACUAGCGGUUCAGAACCACAAACAAAAAAGAAUUUGCAUGAUCUCCGUGUGGGUUUUCUCCGGCCACUUUGUUUUCCUUCCAUGCCAUGAAAACAUCAGUGGUAGAUUGACAAGAAGAGUUAUCAUCAUCAUCAUCAUCUACCCUUCUUCCCUUUUUAAGUAUUCACUGAUUUAUUCAUAAAAGAUGAAAACAUUUCAACCUGAAUGAAAGGAGAGUGUAAAUGAAGUGCGCAGUGCUGUACCUGAAUGGCUUUAAUGCUGAA